rnacentral:rRNA from 1 species
AAAUUGAAGAGUUUGAUCAUGGCUCAGAUUGAACGCUGGCGGCAGGCCUAACACAUGCAAGUCGAACGGUAGCACAGAGAGCUUGCUCUCGGGUGACGAGUGGCGGACGGGUGAGUAAUGUCUGGGAAACUGCCUGAUGGAGGGGGAUAACUACUGGAAACGGUGGCUAAUACCGCAUAACGUCGCAAGACCAAAGAGGGGGACCUUCGGGCCUCUUGCCAUCAGAUGUGCCCAGAUGGGAUUAGCUAGUUGGUGAGGUAACGGCUCACCAAGGCGACGAUCCCUAGCUGGUCUGAGAGGAUGACCAGCCACACUGGAACUGAGACACGGUCCAGACUCCUACGGGAGGCAGCAGUGGGGAAUAUUGCACAAUGGGCGCAAGCCUGAUGCAGCCAUGCCGCGUGUAUGAAGAAGGCCUUCGGGUUGUAAAGUACUUUCAGCGGGGAGGAAGGUGUUGUGGUUAAUAACGACAGCAAUUGACGUUACCCGCAGAAGAAGCACCGG